rnacentral:rRNA from 1 species
UACAGAGGGUGCAAACGUUGUUCGGAAUUACUGGGCAUAAAGCGUACGUAGGCGGCGCGUCAAGUGCGGGGUGAAAGCCCACGGCUUACCCGUGGAACAGCUUUGCAUACUGACGUGCUGGAGUGCGGUAGAGGAGAGCGGAACUCUUGGUGGAGCGGUGAAAUGCGUAGAUAUCAAGAGGAACACCGAAGGCGAAGGCAGCUCUCUGGGCCGUUACUGACGCUGAGGUACGAAAGCCAGGGGAUCAAACGGG